rnacentral:rRNA from 1 species
AGGAUGAACGCUAGCGACAGGCUUAACACAUGCAAGUCGAGGGGCAGCAUAGAAGUAGCAAUACUUGGUGGCGACCGGCGCACGGGUGAGUAACGCGUAUGCAACCUACCUAUCAGAGGGGAAUAACCCGGCGAAAGUCGGACUAAUACCGCAUAAAACAGGGGCACCGCAUGGUGAUAUUUGUUAAAGAAAUUCGCUGAUAGAUGGGCAUGCGUUCCAUUAGGUAGUUGGUGAGGUAACGGCUCACCAAGCCGACGAUGGAUAGGGGAACUGAGAGGUUGGUCCCCCACACUGGUACUGAGACACGGACCAGACUCCUACGGGAGGCAGCAGUGAGGAAUAUUGGUCAGUGGGCGGGAGCCUGAACCAGCCAAGUCGCGUGAAGGAAAAGAAGGAUCUAUGGUUCGUAAACUUCUUUUGCAGGGGAAUAAAGUGCAGGACGUGUCCUGUUUUGUAUGUACCCUGAGAAUAAGGAUCGGCUAACUCCGUGCCAGCAGCUGC